rnacentral:rRNA from 1 species
AUACGUAGGUGGCAAGCGUUGUCCGGAUUUAUUGGGCGUAAAGCAUGCGUAGGCGGAUAUUUAAGUGGGAUGUGAAAUCCCGGGGCUCAACUCCGGUCUUGCAUUCCAAACUGGAUAUCUAGAGUACAGGAGAGGAAAGUGGAAUUCCUAGUGUAGCGGUGAAAUGCGUAGAGAUUCGGAAGAACACCAGUGGCGAAGGCGACUUUCUGGACUGUAACUGACGCUGAGGCAUGAAAGCGUGGGUAGCAAACAGGAUUAGAUACCCUGGUAGUCCACGCCGUAAACGAUGAGUACUAGGUGUCGGGGUUUCAAUACUUCGGUGCCGCAGUUAACACAUUAAGUACUCCGCCUGGGAAGUACGAUCGCAAGAUUAAAACUCAAAGGAAUUGACGGGG